rnacentral:tRNA from 1 species
GGGUUGUUAGCUCAGUCGGUAGAGCGACGGUCUCCAAAACCGUAGGUCGUAGGUUCGAGCCCUGCACGACCCGCCA